rnacentral:rRNA from 1 species
UUGAACGCUGGCGGCAUGCCUUACACAUGCAAGUCGAACGGCAGCACGGGGGCAACCCUGGUGGCGAGUGGCGAACGGGUGAGUAACACAUCGGAACGUGUCCUGUUGUGGGGGAUAACUAGUCGAAAGAUUAGCUAAUACCGCAUGACCUCGGAAGAGAAAAGCAGGGGACCCGCAAGGGCCUUGCGCGAUUGGAGCGGCCGAUGUCCGAUUAGCUAGUUGGUGGGGUAAAGGCCCACCAAGGCGACGAUCGGUAGCUGGUCUGAGAGGAUGAUCAGCCACACUGGGACUGAGACACGGCCCAGACUCCUACGGGAGGCAGCAGUGGGGAAUUUUGGACAAUGGGGGCAACCCUGAUCCAGCCAUGCCGCGUGAGUGAAGAUGGCUUCGGCCAUUGUAAAGCUCUUUCGGUGGAACGAACGGGUAAUACCGGAAUUCUGACGGUACCUUACAGAAGAAGCACCGGCUAACUACUGUGCCAGCAGCCGCGGUAAUACAGUAGGGUGCGAGCGUUAAUCCGGAAUUACUGGGCGUAAAGCGUGUGUAGGCGGAGUAAUAAGUCGAGGGUAAAAUCCCCAAGCUCAACUUGGGACUUGUUCUCGAAACUAUUAUUCUUGGGAGCAUUCAGAGGCAAGUGGAAUUCUGUGUGUAGGGGUAAAAUCCGUAGAUACACGGAGGAACGCCAAAAGCGAAAGCAGCUUGCUAGGAAUGUCUUGACGCUGAGACACGAAAGCGUGGGGAGCAAACAGGAUUAGAUACCCUGGUAGUCCACGCCGUAAACUAUGAGAACUCGGUGUAGGAGGAAUCGACCCCUUCUGUGCCUAAGCUAACGCGUUAAGUUCUCCGCCUGGGUAGUACGGUCGCAAGACUAAAACUCAAAGGAAUAGACGGGGACCCACACAAGCGGUGGAGCAUGUGGUUUAAUUCGACGGUAAGCGAGUAACCUUACCUAGGUUUGACAUCUCGGGAAUUCUGCCGAAAGGUGGAAGUGCCGUAAGGAACCCGAAGACAGGUGCUGCAUGGUUGUCGUCAGCUCGUGCCUUGAGGUGUUUGGUUCAGUCCAUAAACGAGCGCAACCCUCGUCCUGUGUUGUAUAUUUCGCAGGAGACUGCCGACGCAAAGUCGGAGGAAGGUGAGGACGACGUCAAAUCAGCAUGGCCCUUAUACCUAGGGCGACACACGUGCUACAAUGGGUGGUACAAUGGGAAGCCAACUCGUAAGAGGGAGCAAAUCCCUAAAGCCACCCCAAGUUCGGAUUGAGGUCUGCAACUCGACCUCAUGAAGCUGGAAUCGCUAGUAAACGCGUAUCAUCACGGCGCGUUGAAUAUGUUCCUGGGUCUUGUACUCACCGCCCGUCAAGCUAUGGGAGGUAGGAGCGCCUAAAGCAUUGCUAUUUGGCAGUAUCAAGGCGAUACUACUGACUGGAGCUAAGUCGUAACAAGGUAA